rnacentral:rRNA from 1 species
AGUGAACGCUGGCGGUAGGCCUAACACAUGCAAGUCGAACGGCAGCACAGUAAGAGCUUGCUCUUACGGGUGGCGAGUGGCGGACGGGUGAGGAAUACAUCGGAAUCUACUUUUUCGUGGGGGAUAACGUAGGGAAACUUACGCUAAUACCGCAUACGACCUACGGGUGAAAGCAGGGGAUCUUCGGACCUUGCGCGAUUGAAUGAGCCGAUGUCGGAUUGGCUAGUUGGCGGGGUAAAGGCCCACCAAGGCGACGAUCCGUAGCUGGUCUGAGAGGAUGAUCAGCCACACUGGAACUGAGACACGGUCAAGACUCCUACGGGAGGCAGCAGUGGGGAAUAUUGGACAAUGGGCGCAAGCCUGAUCCAGCCAUACCGCGUGGGUGAAGAAGGCCUUCGGGUUGUAAAGCCCUUUUGUUGGGAAAGAAAAGCAGCAGGUUAAUACCCCGCUGUUCUGACGGUACCCAAAGAAUAAGCACCGGCUAACUUCGUG